rnacentral:rRNA from 1 species
AUUGAACGCUGGCGGCAUGCCUUACACAUGCAAGUCGAGCGGCAGCGCGGGACAGGGCAACCUGGCCUGGCGGCGAGCGGCGGACGGGUGAGUAAUACAUCGGAACGUAUCCUUUCGUGGGGGAUAACCAGUCGAAAGACUGGCUAAUACCGCAUGAGAUCGAAAGAUGAAAGCGGGGGACCCGAGGGUAACUUCGGGCCUCGCGCGAUUGGAGCGGCCGAUGUCGGAUUAGCUAGUUGGCGGGGUAAAAGCCCACCAAGGCGACGAUCCGUAGCUGGUUUGAGAGAACGACCAGCCACACUGGGACUGAGACACGGCCCAGACUCCUACGGGAGGCAGCAGUGGGGAAUUUUGGACAAUGGGCGCAAGCCUGAUCCAGCCAUGCCGCGUGUGUGAAGAAGGCCUUCGGGUUGUAAAGCACUUUCGGCCGGAACGAAAUCGCGCGGGCUAUUACCCCGCGUGGAUGACGGUACCGGAAGAAGAAGCACCGGCUAACUACGUGCCAGCCGCCGCUGUAA